rnacentral:rRNA from 1 species
GCAUAUCAAUAAGCGCAGGACAAGAAAAUAACCAUGAUUCCCCUAGUAACGGCGAGUGAAGCGGGAAAAGCUCAAAUUUGAAAUCUGGUAGAGUUUUAUUCUUUGCCCGAGUUGUAAUUUCAAGAAGCUGCUUUGAGUAAUGAACGUCGGUCUAAGUUCCUUGGAACAGGACGUCAGAGAGGGUGAGAACCCCGUCUUUGGCCGAUGUGCUUUGCCAUAUAAAGCGCUUUCUAAGAGUCGAGUUGUUUGGGAAUGCAGCUCUAAAUGGGUGGUGAAUUUCAUCUAAAGCUAAAUAUUGGCGAGAGACCGAUAGCGAACAAGUAGAGUGAUCGAAAGAUGAAAAGAACUUUGAAAAGAGAGUUAAAUAGUACGUGAAAUUGCUGAAGGGGAAGCAUUGGAAACCAGUCUUACCUUGGUGAGAUCAGCUGUUUACUUGUAGACAGUGCACUCUGAACCUAGGUAGGUCAGCAUCAGUUUUCGGGGACGGAAAAAGAAUAAGGGAAUGUGGCUUUUGGGCUUGCUCAGAAGUGUUAUAGCCCUUAUUGUAAUACGCCCACUGGGGACUGAGGUCUGCGACUUUGUCAAGGAUGCUGACAUAAUGGUUUUCAAUGGCCCGUCUUGAAACACGGACCAAGGAGUCUAGCAUCUAUGC